GCCCCUGUGGCGGAACUGGCAGACGCGGACGACUCAAAAUCGUCUGGCCUUUGGGUCUUGGAGGUUCAAAUCCUCUCAGGGGCA
rnacentral:tRNA from 1 species